rnacentral:rRNA from 1 species
UACGUAGGCAGCGAGCGUUGUUCGGAGUUACUGGGCGUAAAGGGUGUGUAGGCGGUUGUUUAAGUUUGGUGUGAAAUCUCCCGGCUCAACUGGGAGGUGCGCCGAAUACUGAAUGACUUCGAGUGCGGGAGAGGAGAGUGGAAUUCCUGGUGUAGCGGUGAAAUGCGUAGAUAUCAGGAGGAACACCGGUGGUGUAGACGGCUCUCUGGACCGUAACUGACGCUGAGACACGAAAGCGUGGGUAGCAAACAGG